rnacentral:lncRNA from 1 species
GUCUUUCUCCUGGAAAGACAAUGGUGAAACCAAAAUUCCUUCGGACAUUCCCAGCAAUGCUUGAAAAGGUCACAGCUCUCUAACAUCUUCCUGGCCAAGGACUUGUGCUCCACCUCACUCACAGUUGGAGAUCUGGAAGCAGAUCCAGAAUGGAAGAGGUUGCUAACACUGAAAAGUAAUCCUCUGUCUACUUUAAUGAUUGUGAGGCCAGUGAGGGUUGAGGGUUACUGAAAAACACAUCAAAGAAAGUGACAGCUGACCAGAUGCUCACAUUUGACAAAGAAAUGAUAUGGAAUGAUAAAGGAAUGAAGAGAGAACAUUCCCACUCUGCCCCUCACAUGGAAAACCACUCACAUGGAAAACCCCCUCACAUGGAAAACCACUGUUCCCCAUUCUGUUUCCUUCCCAAAGCGAUUCUCUGCUUGUAGAGACACAUCCAUACUAUAUGCAGAU